AUCUUUAGUGAUGUAUUGUCUUCAAAUGCUUUUUAAAACAUAAGCCAAGGCUCUCUUAAUAAAUCAUUGUACUUGAGGGAUGAAUUUUUUUUCCUUUCCCAAAAAUCCCAUGUGCAUGAUUAUUAUGGUAAUGUUAAGGAGGUUUCUUUGGAUCAGUAAUUCAGACUACAUGUUUUUAGACUUUUCAGACCAUUAUGAUUUACCUUUGCAAAGAUGGUCUUGCUUUCCUUCAUAAAACCCUGAGGGAGCUCCACUUUUAAAGGAUGCAGUUGGUGUAUUCCUACAGAGUCAACUCCAGAUAAGCUCCAGCCGAAGCAGGUCUCUGCAGUUUGAGCAUAGCUGUGUUUCCGUUAAGAAAAGCCAUCAGAGAGAAGAACUAUUGGCAGUAUUUAAAUAGAAAAGAUUGGGGGGGCUGAAAAUAUCUAGUUUGACUUGGUUGUAUGCAACUUCCUCGUG